GCUUGUCUCGAAGGCGGGAAGACAAAAAUUCUUCAAUGUAGACGUCAGUUCUGAGGGGCACCGACGUCUACGUUCCUGUAUUUUCACCAAAUUCGAGGGUUUUAGACGUCGGCUGUGAGGGGCACCGACGUGAACUAUCCUGACAGGAAACCAAAACGUCAAUCUUUUCAGCUUCCUAGACGUCGGUUUCUGGAGCAACCGACGCCCCAUUUCAUUUUAAAUAGACUGCGGACUCUUCUCGCCAUUCAGUUUCUGAUCGCGUCUUCAUCUCUUCUCCUUUUUCUCUACUUCUCCUCUUCUUUUACUCGCUUGCGCACCUCUACUUUUUAUCUCUUGCGGC
rnacentral:lncRNA from 1 species